GUUUUUAUAGUAUAAAGAAUUAUAUAACAUUUUCAUUGUUAAGAAGAAAUAUUUUCUAAAAAUA
rnacentral:tRNA from 1 species